GACAGAGGAUGCAAGCGUUAUCCGGAAUGAUUGGGCGUAAAGCGUCUGUAGGUGGCUUUUUAAGUCCGCCGUCAAAUCCCAGGGCUCAACCCUGGACAGGCGGUGGAAACUACCAAGCUGGAGUACGGUAGGGGCAGAGGGAAUUUCCGGUGGAGCGGUGAAAUGCGUAGAUAUCGUCUGGAACGCCAAAGGUGAAAACAGACUGCUGGGGCUGUGCUGACGCUGAGACACGAAAGCCAGGGGAGCGAACGGG
rnacentral:rRNA from 1 species